rnacentral:misc_RNA from 1 species
AACCAUAGAAACCUGCGGAGUACCUGCGGAAGGAUCAUUACAGAGUUGCAAAACUCCCUAAACCAUUGUGAACGUUACCUAAACCGUUGCUUCGGCGGGCGGCCCGGGUCCUUCCCGGCGCCCAUCGGCCCUCGCGGGCGCCCGCCGGAGGUAAACCAAACUAUUGCAUUGUAUGGCCUCUCUGAGUCUUCUGUACUGAAUAAGUCAAAAAUUUCAACAAUGGAUCUCAGAUCGGAAGAG